UUUGAUUUUUGCACUUAAUAACCCUAUCCAACUAAUUUUUGGAGGUCGGGAAUUUGAUAUUUCAAAUGUACACAUCAUGACCUUUCAUUUGAUAUACAACAACCCUAUCUUAAAAGAAACAUUUAUUUUUUGCACUCAAUGACCCCAUCCAAACCCAUUUUUGGGAGACGUCAAUUUGAAAUUUGAAAUGUACGCUUUAUGUUCUUUCAUUUGAUAUGCGACAACCUUACCAUCUGAGAAAUUUGAAUGUUUGCACUAAAUGACCCCACCCUUCCCCCUGGGAUGAAAAGGGGGUUUAAAAUUUUCAUUUUUAAGUAGAGUUUAUUAAGACCUUCAAUUUGAUAUAUCAGAUGACCCCAUUUGACAAAGUGCAAAUAAUGAUGCAAUAUCAACUAUAUAAAUAGAAGUUAUGAAACUUACAAAGUCAAUGCAAAACUUGAAAAUUUCAAAUUGAUUUUUUGGUGUUUUUUUCCAUGGAAUGUUUUUGGUAUUUGGUCAAACAUAUAACUAUGUCAACCUCUUCAAUUUCUAAAAACAUUUUAAGUGGUAAGCUCUUGUUGAUUCAGAAAUACAUGCCUCCGCUCGCAAAACUUCAAACUGCAUUAUCUCUAAAACGACAAUAGAUAUCUCAAAUCUGUUAAAUGAUAAAUGAUCUACAGUUAAAGGACAACAUUAUAGAAAAGAAUUGGGACAAUUUCAAAGUUCACCAAGGUCACAAUUAAUCAUCAAAUAUAUGAUGCAAUACCAAACUUGAGAACCGGAAGUCGUAGAGACAUGGGACUAUCACCAUUCAACUCAGGACCACUUGACCUUUCAAAUAUCACAAGGUCAAGGUCAUAGUAUAAUGUGAAGGUCAAGGUGAAAUUUCAUCAUGACCUGACAUUGACCUCAAAUUGAAGGUCUUGAAUUACUGAUCAUCUUUGCAGUUUAUAGUAGGUUGAUAUCUGUUACCUUUAAAAAGAUAUACACACAAUACUAUACUUUUAAGAAUCAUCCCGUCGUAACUUUUGAACAGACAGUCGGACACUUUUUGAGGCUCAGUGUAUAAAAUGUAGAGCUCGUCGAGAGGAACAUUUUAUACGCUGUAAGUAUGCAGCAAACUCUUAUCGUUUUCUUAAUAUGAAAGCUUGAAAUUGCAGCGUAAUUUUUUUUUUGCACUUGGUGACCUUUGACCUUGGGUGCAAAUUAAAGGUCACAUGAACUUAAGAUUAUUGGUGUAGGUCCCAAGUCUUUACGACUUCCGGUUCUCGAGAUACAAUUUUUCAAAAAUUGGGUAUAUUUUUUCAAGGGAAAUAACUCCUUAUAAGGGUUAACAACAAAAUGAUUGUAUAUGUUCAUUAUCAUUGCCAUCUGGUCUUGUACAUGUUGCCGUUUUCAAAUCAAUUCUAUCUUGAAUACUUUUUGAGAAAAAUGUAAAAGAAAGAAAAUUGCUUCAAGGGGACAUAACUCUCAUAGGGAAUGAUGAAAUCCUUAGCAGCCUCAUAUGGUAACACAUCAUGAUGAGAUCUAACUUUGUCCAAAUAAGGUCAUGAUAUCUUUAAAAACAACGAGGGGGGCCAUGUCGAAAAAAACCAAUAAAAGGGAGAUAACUUCUAAAGGGGAUGAUGAAAUCCUACACAGCCUCAUCUGGUAAUACUUCAUGAUGAGUUCUACCGAUGGUCCAUAUUUGGUCUUGAUAACUCCAAUAGAAACGAGGGGAGGCCAUGUCAAACAAAUGCUGGAUGAAAAAAAAAAAAAAAAAAAAAAAAAAAAAAAAAAAAACAGGAGAAAAACAAUAAGGUCUUUCCUCGCGGAGAGGAAAGACCUUAAAAAUGUCUAAGAA
rnacentral:lncRNA from 1 species